GUGUGAAUGAAGAGAAUACAUCCUUGCUCUGCGAGUCCGCGAGCACAUCGUUUAGGAGAGCCGUGACGAGCUGUAGUCACAUCGGGUGACUGCAAGCGAGUCACGCGACGAUCCGGACGGCUCGUUGACGGUGAACAGCGUUGGCCUCUGACACGC
rnacentral:snoRNA from 1 species